rnacentral:rRNA from 1 species
UAAGGAAUCUUCAACAAUGGGCGAAAGCCUGAUGGAGCAACGCCGCGUGUGUGAUGAAGGGUUCCGGCUCGUAAAACACUGUUGUAAGAGAAGAAUGACAUUGAGAGUAACUGUUCAAUGUGUGACGGUAUCUUACCAGAAAGGAACGGCUAAAUACGUGCCAG